rnacentral:rRNA from 1 species
GACGAACGCUGGCGGCGUGCCUAAUACAUGCAAGUAGAACGCACAGUUUAUACCGUAGCUUGCUACACCAUAGACUGUGAGUUGCGAACGGGUGAGUAACGCGUAGGUAACCUGCCUGGUAGCGGGUGAUAACUAUUGGAAACGAUAGCUAAUACCGCAUAAUAUUAAUUAUUGCAUGAUAAUUAAUUGAAAGGUGCAAUUGCACCACUACCAGCUGGACCUGCGUUGUAUUAGCUAGUAGGUGAGGUAACGGCUCACCUAGGCGACGAUACAUAGCCGACCUGAGAGGGUGAUCGGCCACACUGGGACUGAGACACGGCCCAGACUCCUACGGGAGGCAGCAGUAGGGAAUCUUCGGCAAUGGACGAAAGUCUGACCGAGCAACGCCGCGUGAGUGAAGAAGGUUGUCGGAUCGUAAAGCUCUGUUGUAAGAGAAGAACGGGUGUGAGAGUGGAAAGUUCACACUGUGACGGUAUCUGACCAGAAAGGGACGGCUAACUACGUG